rnacentral:rRNA from 1 species
GCUAUACAUGCAAGUCGAGCGGACAGAAGGGAGCUUGCUCCCGGAUGUUAGCGGCGGACGGGUGAGUAACACGUGGGUAACCUGCCUGUAAGACUGGGAUAACUCCGGGAAACCGGAGCUAAUACCGGAUAGUUCCUUGAACCGCAUGGUUCAAGGAUGAAAGACGGUUUCGGCUGUCACUUACAGAUGGACCCGCGGCGCAUUAGCUAGUUGGUGAGGUAACGGCUCACCAAGGCGACGAUGCGUAGCCGACCUGAGAGGGUGAUCGGCCACACUGGGACUGAGACACGGCCCAGACUCCUACGGGAGGCAGCAGUAGGGAAUCUUCCGCAAUGGACGAAAGUCUGACGGAGCAACGCCGCGUGAGUGAUGAAGGUUUUCGGAUCGUAAAGCUCUGUUGUUAGGGAAGAACAAGUGCAAGAGUAACUGCUUGCACCUUGACGGUACCUAACCAGAAAGCCACGGCUAACUACGUGCCAGCAGCCGCGGUAAUACGUAGGUGGCAAGCGUUGUCCGGAAUUAUUGGGCGUAAAGGGCUCGCAGGCGGUUUCUUAAGUCUGAUGUGAAAGCCCCCGGCUCAACCGGGGAGGGUCAUUGGAAACUGGGAAACUUGAGUGCAGAAGAGGAGAGUGGAAUUCCACGUGUAGCGGUGAAAUGCGUAGAGAUGUGGAGGAACACCAGUGGCGAA